rnacentral:lncRNA from 1 species
GUGGCGCCCUGCACUGCACCCGACCGGCUCGGCAGAGCAAGAGCAGUUGAUCGGUUCGCACGGCAAAGGAAAAUUCACACCACGUCUCGUUCAGUCAUUCUGACGGCCCAGCGACCCAGGGGCCGGCAUUUUAGCUCUAGUUAGGGCCUCCAUUAGGAGUGCUAUAAAGGGAGAAGAAAGAAGAUUAGUAUGCAGUUAGGCA